rnacentral:rRNA from 1 species
GCCCAAUAGCUAGCCCACUCACUAACAAACAACACACCAUCAUUACCAACCCCUCAUGCACGAAAUGAACUCAAACAAACCAUUUUUCCCCCCAAGUAUGGGCGACAGAAAAGGAACAUAGGAGCAAUAGAGAAAGUACCGCAAGGGAAAGCUGAAAGAGAAAUGAAAUAACCCAGUUAAGCUUAAAGAAGCAGAGGUUAAACCU